UGGGGAAUAUUGGACAAUGGGCGAAAGCCUGAUCCAGCCAUGCCGCGUGUGUGAAGAAGGUCUUCGGAUUGUAAAGCACUUUAAGUGGGGAGGAAGGGCAGUAAGCGAAUACCUUGCUGUUUUGACGUUACCGACAGAAUAAGCACCGGCUAACUCUGUGCCAGCAGCCGCGGUAAUACAGAGGGUGCAAGCGUUAAUCGGAAUUACUGGGCGUAAAGCGCGCGUAGGUGGUUCGUUAAGUUGAAUGUGAAAGCCCCGGGCUCAACCUGGGAACUGCAUCCAAAACUGGCGAGCUAGAGUAGGGCAGAGGGUGGUGGAAUUUCCUGUGUAGCGGUGAAAUGCGUAGAUAUAGGAAGGAACACCAGUGGCGAAGGCGACCACCUGGGCUCAUACUGACACUGAGGUGCGAAAGCGUGGGGAGCAAACAGG
rnacentral:rRNA from 1 species